UGAGAGUUUGAUCCUAGCUCAGGAUGAACGCUGGCGGCGUGCCUUAGGCAUGCAAGUCGAACGGGUCCGCGCAAGCGGACCAGUGGCGGAAGGGUGAGUAACGCGUGGGAACGUACCUUUUGGUGGAGAAUAGCCUUCCGAAAGGAGGGGUAAUUCUGCAUAAGUCCGCAAGGAGAAAGGGCUUAACCGCCCGCCGAAAGAGCGGCCUACGUCCUAUCAGCUUGUUGGUGGGGUAACGGCCUACCAAGGCAAUGACGGGUAGCUGGACUGAGAGGUCGGCCAGCCACAAGGGAACUGAGACACGGUCCCUACACCUACGGGUGGCAGCAACCAGGAAUCUUGGACAAUGGGCGAAAGCCUGAUCCAGCGACGCCGCGUGGGGGAAGAAGGCCUUCGGGUUGUAAACUCCUUUUGGCCCGUGUAAUGCGGGCAGAAUAAGCACCUGCCAACUACGUGCCAGCAGCCGCGGUGAAACGUAGGGUGCAAGCGUUAUCCGGAUUUACUGGGCGUAAAGGGUUGCGUAGGCGCCCAGCUUCAUCUUGUCUGAAAGCCUCCCGCUUAACGGGAGAAACGGACAGGAAAUGAGCUGGGUUUGAGGCUCACAGAGGUAGCCGGAACUUGCAGUGGAGCGGUGAAAUGCGUUGAGAUUGCAAGGAACACCGAUGGCGUAGGCAGGCUACUGGGUGAGAUCUGACGCUGAUGCACGAAAGCUAGGGGAGCGAAGCGGAUUAGAGACCCGCGUAGUCCUAGCCGUAAACGAUGGACACUAGCUGGCUGCCUUAUGGUGGCUGGCGCAAGCUAACGCGUUAAGUGUCCCGCCUGGGGAGUACGGCCGCAAGGCUAAAACUCAAAGGAAUUGACGGGGACCCGCACAAGCGGUGGAGCAUGUGGUUUAAUUCGA
rnacentral:rRNA from 1 species